AUUAAGAUUUAUAAAUAUGUAAAUAGUUUAUACAUUUCUUUUGAAUACUUAUUUCUUGCAUUUCUGUAACACAUAUUUUAGGAAUGGAUUAAAGAAUAUGAACAAAGAUCGGAAACAGUUUGGCGUGUUCAGAGAACACAUAAAUCAACUGGACGCCUUAAUGUUUAUAAAGGUGACUUUAGAUGCCAGCACAAUGUGCAACAGGUAUCAAAACAUGUGAAAGAAAGUAAAAAUACUGGAUGCCCUGCAGUUCUUAAAAUUACUAUUCAAAGGUAUUUUUCACUGCCAAAACACAAAGAUUCACUCCCAGAAGUUAUAGAGUUUCCUGCAUUAUGUG